AGUGGAAGUACAACAAGCCACAGAACAGAAGGACAGAUAUACAGACAAGGGAGGGUAAUGACUAUAUCCAUCACUGUGACACACACCGGCACUCUUCAUGGAUCAGAGGCUUUAAGUGCCGAGCUAUGGAAAAAAAGAAAGAAGUCAGGAAAUGACUUUUCCCAAGGACAGCAUUUUUGUUUGCCAUUCCAAUUAUUGCAGCAUAAAAGAUCAUGCAAACCAGCGCCACCAUUUCAAAGGCUUUCUGUGUCAUAAAGAAGUCACAUAAUGUUUCCCUGCUGCUCAGACACAAAACACCAUCAUUAUCUGUGAGGAGUAAAUUAUUUCCAUGGGAAAUAUGCACUUAGAGUGGAUUUAAAAAAGAUUUGGUUUGUUGUGGAAGGAACUUAAAUCUUGGAAUUAAAGAUGCUAACUAGA